AAGGCACCUCGUUCGGUGAGGCGUCGCCAUGGACACAGGCCACUGACCCCACGACGUCGAGAGACGCCCAGGGUCAGGACAGGUCUCCCCGGCCUAAGGGGUGACCCCAAGUGGCUGCACCCCUCGGGACCAUCCCGGGUGCUACGCCGUGGCGUGCCAAAGCUCUGACGAGAUCAAGGGGUGCCCA
rnacentral:sRNA from 2 species